GGAGCUGGAGCUCAGUGGUAGAGCACUUGCCUUGUACACAUGAGGCACUGCAUUCGAGUCCCAGCACCA
rfam:Ictidomys tridecemlineatus contig008067, whole genome shotgun sequence.